AGUUGGUUAGCUCAGUGGUAGAGUGCAUGCUUUGCAUGUAUGAUGUCCUGGGUUUAAUCCCCAGGUUGAGAA
rnacentral:tRNA from 1 species